UGCACUGAGAACGAGUGAGGGUAGAACGACGGGGAUAUACAAAAUUUUGAAUCCUCGGCAUCGUUCACAAUUUAUAAAAGUAUAUGUGACAACAACAGUUAAAUCAUAAGAGCACUUCCAUACAAACUGUGGGCUUUAUCUCCCGAAUCAAAGGCCUGAAAAAAAUUAACAGAUUUUUCUUUUUAAAGGUGUUUCCAGAAAACUUCCAUGAACUGGUUUCGUUUGGAAAUAAACUAUUUUUUUUCUAUCUAUUCAAGUCCUCAAAUAAGAUUCACAGACGAGAAGCUGAUGUGUUCCGUGCAAUUCCAUUCACUCUUGAUCUUCCUGCACCUUCCAAUACCUAUGUGGCAGUCAUAAACUUGCUACGCGGAGGAAACAUCAGUCCAGUCAAUGUAGGAACCAGAAGUUUUGUGUGGUGAUUGAUCCUUCAAAAUAAUGCAACUAUUAUUAAUCCUUCAUAGGAAAAUGUACAAUAUCGUGGUAAAAGGAAAGAUGUGGUUCCGAUUCUGGAAAAGUACUGGUGGACAAUUUAUAAUUUGACAUCAUGUAGCAUAAUUAUAUGCCAGGAUUUUAAGUUGUAACUUUAUUCCCAUGUUGUUGGAAAAUUAAAACAAUGUUACGCAACAAUAUUUCAGGAUUUUUUUUUCAAAUAUGUGGCACUCAGAAAUUCAUAAUACGUGGAUUUGACAGCCCAAAGAAAUUUUCUGAAGCCCAAGAUAGAUUAUUUUGGAAAUAAUUUCUCAACCUAGGAUCAAAUCACUUUUAUAUCUCAAUUUUACACUAUAUACACUAAAGUAGAUAUGACUCUAAUCUGUACACUUACAAGUGACUGUAUACAACUACCAUACAGUUUGGUACAAGCAACCAGAACAUAAAAUUACUAACAACUGCCCAUCAUCCAUAGAUAACUUCGAAGAACAUACAGUAACCUCAUUAGCACAUCAUAAGUUUACCACUAGUAACUGAAAACUAAAAAUGGGGUAAAUAUGUCACUUGUAAUUAAACUCUUUCUUGUUUACAUUCACAAUUAGCAUAUUUUGUAAUAUACUGGGUUAUUCACUUUUAUGGAACAUAAAAUAACCAUUAUUUUACAGGUGGCAUGUGCACUUUUUGAAUUACUUUCAUCAUUAUAUAAACUCAAAGUAUUACCCCUAUUUGAAUAGCUGCUACAUAUAUCAUGCCAAAAGCCUACCUGACAGCUACUGUUACAGUUUAAUGAUGGCAAAAUUUUGGGGAAACUCAGAUUUUAAGGUCGUAUCAGUCUUUCGGCUACUCUUACAUAUCUUAACAUUGACGUACUAUAGAAAGAAUAUUUCAGUUUCUCAUAAAAAACUUGACACAAACACUGACUGUGAAGUUUCAUUUCACUCUGAACUGAACCUAAGUCACUGUCUACAAAUAUGUCAGUAGUGCAACACCACCAGCAACACUCACUAAAAUGACAAAUAUUCUUCAUUCAUUUAUGUUUGUGGUUGUUAAUUACAUAAUGAUGCUUAGGUUUAAAAAAACAAUAACAACAGGAACAGUGAAUUAAUUGUGGAAAAAAUGGCAGGAUGAAAGCACAUAAUGAAAUUUCAGUUGAUAAGUGAGCCACUGCCAGUAACUAUAUUUGCAACAAACCUGGCAUCAACCUAUACAGCAGGGUGAAGGAAUUGUUUUAAUGCAGAAGAAUCCAUACAACAGAAUGAGAAACCACAUACAAUGGAAGGACAAUAGCUUUUUUAUAGUUCAUUUUACAGUGUUAUCAUACUUAAAUUAUAUAGCAUCAAAUGAUAUGAUGAUUGGUGAACAAAGAACGGGAAAGGAUUUGGAAGGGAGCAGUCAUGGCCUAAACUAGGUGUUAAUCUAUAAUUUGCCUGGAGGGACUGGAAAAAACUAAGGAAAUCCACAGUAAGGACAGCCAUUGUCCUGGCCAAGAUUUGAACCACACAAAUCCUAUAUACACACCUAGAUCAUUGACAUAACCGCUUGGUGGCUGUGAUGAUAAAAAUGAUGGUUAGCGCACACAACCUAAUACUUAAUACUGAAUCAGAAUCACUGUGGGGACUUGGUACUCUCCACUUUAACAAAAUAUGCUUCAGCAUAUUCAUUAUCAAAGACUUAGAGAAAUACUGCCACCUGUUUUUGAAUAGGAACAAAACCAACUAACAGGACUGAGAAUCAAAUGUCUUACCCUAAGAACAUGAAUGCUCCAGUUGUAAUAAUGUUGCUUGCACAUUUCUUAAGUGUCUUGUAACAUAGCAUAUCCUAAAAUAUUCACAACUCACAUGCAAAUAGGAAAGCUCUGAAGAGAGCAGCCUUAUCAUUUAUGGUUGUGGCCUUAGAAUACACACUGAUAACAUUCAAGGACAUGUAAUACAAGGGUUAAAUAACUAGUGUACCUUUUGACCACAUCAUUUAUCAUUUACAUACAAUGCAUUUUUAUGUUCGUAUGUUAAUAACAUAAACACUGAAACAUUCAGAUACAGUAAUAACACUUGUUUUGUUAUUCCACUGGCCUACAAUUUGCAAAGAGAAUUUACUUAUUUUCAGCUAAAUCCUUUAGUGUUCAUAAAAUAUUAAAGAAACUGAAGCCUGUAAUUAUUUAAACGUUUAUACUGAAGCAGAAGAAGUGAUGUAACAUUUCAAAGUGAAGUCAUCAAGAAUAUUCAAAGCUAUGUAUAUCAAUGCCACCAUUACUUUCAUUAAGCCUCAUGGUUUAAGCCAUGCUCUUUUGAUUAAUUUGUAACAUACAUGUAUCCUGCUAUAAAAGUUGUUUCAACUAUCUACUCCUUUAUGCUUGUUCACCACCUUGUCAAGAUCAACAUCACUAAUAUCAAAUUCAUUUUCCUGAGUUAUUUCAAUGUUAUCUUUCCUUCUUCCUGAUCCCCUAAGUAGUCGCCUUCCAACAGGUUUCUCCACCAAAAUUUUGUAUUCAUAAAUGAUGAGUGAGAGGAAUAAAAAAACACAUUAACUCUAAAAUAACAAAAUGAUGCAAUUCUUUAUUGGAGUCCAUCGUAACACAACAACAUAACAGUCAAGGUUAAUAUUACCUUAGCCACAUGUUUCAGCUUUUAAUGUCAUCAUUGGGGGGGGGAAGUGGUUAGCACUGCCUCCCUGGGCCUUUCUGUCAUACCCUUAACAAUAAGCUGCAAAAAUGGUCCCAUUAGUUUUGCUAUGUCUAUCCGUCUGUCUCUCUGCAGAUCCCUCAGAAACAACUGAAUGGAUUUCUUUUUUUGAGCUUGACACUGCAUACUACUACUAAAAUUUGUCAACACACUCCACUUUGGUAAAAAUUGGACAACAGUAAUGGAUACUAUAAGAUCUACAUGCAUCUAAAUCAUACCCUGCUAAAUAUUUAUUUCAGCAGAAAAUAGUCUGAACAAAAGUUGCAGAGAAAAAUAAAACACAUUUUAUAUCCAACAUACCUUUUCCAUAAGUCUCAUAACUUGAGAAUGGUUGGACUGCGUUUAAUAAGUUUUUAUACACUAGGUCCUUCCACAAAUCUGUCAAACCAUUUCAAGUUUCAUAAUGAUCAGUGCAACAGAAGUGGUAUGUUACAUAAGAGCCUAUUAUGAAUUCGGGGGCCACACAGUUCGUCUAACGUAGUUUCUUACUAAACUAUUCAUCUAAUCUUGCAACACUUUUAUUCUACUGUAACUCAAGCAAAAUAAUAAUGAUAUGUCCAUGUACAAUAUCAAAUUUUCCCAAGAUUGAAACACUGAUUUCCUAUAUAGGAAGCCAGAACAAUGUCCAUUACAUCAAUUAUCUGAACAUAGCUCACCAGAAUGUACAUAUAUAUACUUUCAUAGUCUAUUGUGUUGCCUUUUGACUGAGAACAGUAACUAUUUGCCAACUGAUUUUUUGGUGCAAUAGCAACUAAAAGACACAAAAGGCUAUAACAGUGCAGAGAGUCAAUAAUAAAAUAUAUACAUUAUUAUUUUGUUUAUAAUGCUUUUUCUAUUAAUGAAUAAGACAGAGGCAAGGAUGAUAUAUAUGUAAUCCAACUUGAUAUAGUGCAUGGCCUUGGUAUACUUCAUUACUUACAAUUCACGAUUUCAGCCAUGACUUUGUGGAGUAAAAAGUACAGGGAGAAUUUUUACUCACUUGAAAAGUUCAUGGCUCUGUGCUUCACAGUGGCUGGUGCGCCACCUGCUUGCAUAUAAAUUUUGCCGAUGAAUCAGCUGAUAAAGUUUGGAACGAAGGGAAGUAAUUAACUUUUAGACCGCUUCAUGACAUUAUGUUUCACAUUGAACAGUGCCGUUCAUGCAUGGGAUUUGUUUACAAUUUGUCAGCAGCAGGGAGCAGUUAUCAGCUCCAUUAGCCAUUUGUUCUCAGUUUCAGCUAGUGAGCAGUGUGGUACAUCAUGGUGCGGUAUACUUUAGAGCAAUGUGUAUUUCUGUAUGACAGCUAUGCGAAAUAUGGAUCUGUUAGAAUGUAUCAACAAAAAUUUUGAGGUUAAUUUCAUGAUGAUAUAAUUCCCAGCAGACAAACAAUUCACAAUUUGGUGAAUAAACUUAGAACAACAGAGCUCUUAAUAGACAAGAACCAAAAAUAUAAGUGAAGUUACAUGACACAGGGUGAGACUUGAACAUACACCUAGAAAAUCACUGAAAUGUCUAGCUCAAGAGUCAAAGUGUCAAAGUCUAGUGCAAGAAUGGCAACACAACUGCUGAAGCCAUCCAGUGAAAGUUGGUGUCUGGUGUGCUCUAAGUGCAAUUAGGAUUUUUUACCUGUGUUUUUAAUGAAACAAUUAAUUGCAAAAAAUAUCUACAUGUAGAGAGGACAGCAUUUUCAAACACCUCCUGUGAUC